rnacentral:hammerhead_ribozyme from 1 species
AUCCAAUGACGAGUCCAAACUAGGACGAAAUGCGCGUCCUGGAU